UACGUAGGGAGCAAGCGUUGUCCGGAAUCAUUGGGCGUAAAGCGCGCGUAGGUGGCUUCGUAAGUCCGUUGUGAAAGUCAAAGGCUCAACCUUUGAAAGCCGAUGGAUACUGCGGAGCUAGAGUACGGAAGAGGCGAGUGGAAUUCCUGGUGUAGCGGUGGAAUGCGCAGAUAUCAGGAGGAACACCAAUGGCGAAGGCAGAUCUCUGGGACGUAACUGACGCUGAGGAGCGAAAGCAUGGGGAGCGAACAGG
rnacentral:rRNA from 1 species